UUUCAUUUCACAUUUCACUUCAAAAGUGGCUCAGUUCAGUGUACAAAUCCAACCGUUCACCCCCAUGCCGGUAGGGGGAAGACAGUGCCUCUGCUUUCAGGUGACCGACUGAAGUCCUGUCCUGACUUCCGUUUUGUGCUAUUUGUACAUACACCAAAGUCCUUCUGGAUACACAGAACUUGGCCUGGGAACCCGUCUUCUUUCAGUGGCUUUCAGGAGCAGAUAAAGGAAACAGUAGACCAGAAGCCAAAUAAUGUGAUAUUGUCUUCUGCAGCAGAACUCAUCACACAGAGGGAGGUGGCUCAGCCAUGGAGACGGAAAUGAGAGCCAUGAGGACAUCCAUUACCCGCAUGGCACAGCGGAUGGACGCAUUUGAGGAGAAGAUGGAUGAGCUGCUCAUGCUCUUAAGGACACCUUAAAGUCACCUCCCUCUGCUCCAGUCGAUGACAUGUUGCUGUCACCCUGCUCGACAGUCACCGAGCUGCAGGAGUUCAACAGGAGUCCCGGUCAACAGGAGAGGAGGAACAAAAUGCGGCCUCUCAGAAAAACGUCCCCACGCUGACUGCAGCAGACACGGAGGACUUGAUUGGGCAAGUGCUUAAGUUUGCCCCACACAGACAGCCAGCUGAGAAGGACUGAGCCUUUAAAACCAUGGAGCUCUAUGUUUUUGCAGAAGCAUGGCCUACUACAAGAGCUGUUGGCCAUCUUCUACACUGCUGCCAUCCUCCUGCCUCCUCCCCUCUGGCAGGCGCUACAGAUCCCUGCACACAAAAACAACCAGACACAAGAACAGCUUCUUUCCACUGCCAUCACUCUCCUGAACUGCUGAUAAGUGGGGUCAUCCCCACCUUGGCCAUUCACCUACACAUUACAUACUUUAUCAUUCCAAUAUGCAUCUUGCACACUACAUUUGCACUAUGAUGUGUCUAUAUGGCCAA